AGGCGCUCCGGAGGCCGCGGUAGAGCCCGGCGCGGUCUGAAAAUCAUUCGGGGUCUGCGGUGGCCCCGGGUGCCGUUCCUGGGCGCUGGGAGCGCGGCCCCGCCACGGGCUCGGCUGGCGCUUCACGGCGAUCCCGUCUCCGGAGGAGCUGUGAAGAGCACGGGGCUGCCGUGAUGGACGGCGACACGGGGGUUACUGCGGGGAACGAUUCGGUUUUGUAUUUUGAUGUGCAAUAAAAGAUGAAUUGAUUAAAAGAU